rnacentral:rRNA from 1 species
AGGACGAACGCUGGCGGCGUGCUUAACACAUGCAAGUCGAGCGGUAAGGCCCUUUCGGGGGUACACGAGCGGCGAACGGGUGAGUAACACGUGAGCAAUCUGCCCUUCACUUCGGGAUAAGCCUCGGAAACGGGGUCUAAUACCGGAUAUGACCUGCUCUCGCAUGGGGGUGGGUGGAAAGAUUUAUCGGUGCAGGAUGGGCCCGCGGCCUAUCAGCUUGUGGUGGGUAAUGGCCUACCGAAGGCGACGACGGGUAGCCGACCUGAGAGGGUCGACCGGCCACACUGGGACUGAGACACGGCCCAGACUCCACGGGAGGCAGCAGUGGGAAUA